rnacentral:misc_RNA from 1 species
AAAAUUUACCAUUUCAUAUGGAAAAUUAAAUCCAUAUCCACCUUGUGUGCAUUGUCGAAUGUUUGCUUUGGGAGGUAACCUGGUGUUGGCGAUUUGUCGAUAUCUGGGUAGAAAGAUAAUCUUUCAACCUCCCGAAGUUUCUUUUUUAACAACACUUAUAAACUUUUGACUGAAAAUAAAAUCUUUUGUUAUACUAAACAAAUAAAUAUA